rfam:Serratia marcescens FGI94, complete genome.
GAAUUUUUGAUUAACGCCUGCCGCAAGGCAGGCCAUUUGGAAG